GACGAACGUUGGCGGCGUGCUUAACACAUGCAAGUCGAACGGAAAGGCCCUGCUUUUGUGGGGUGCUCGAGUGGCGAACGGGUGAGUAACACGUGAGUAACCUGCCCUUGACUUUGGGAUAACUUCAGGAAACUGGGGCUAAUACCGGAUAGGAGCUCCUGCUGCAUGGUGGGGGUUGGAAAGUUUCGGCGGUUGGGGAUGGACUCGCGGCUUAUCAGCUUGUUGGUGGGGUAGUGGCUUACCAAGGCUUUGACGGGUAGCCGGCCUGAGAGGGUGACCGGCCACAUUGGGACGGAGAUACGGCCCAGACUCCUACGGGAGGCAGCAGUGGGGAAUAUUGCACAAUGGGCGGAAGCCUGAUGCAGCAACGCCGCGUGCGGGAUGACGGCCUUCGGGUUGUAAACCGCUUUCGCCUGUGACGAAGCGUGAGUGACGGUAAUGGGUAAAGAAGCACCGGCUAACUACGUG
rnacentral:rRNA from 1 species